UGCACUUCUCUGGAAGAUAUCCAGAUAUCCAGCGCCGACACACAACUUAUAAACAUAAGUUGGUGUCGGUUAUGCUGGAUGAAAUCCAGAAAAGCAUUGCUGCCAUUAAGGAGGAAGUGGUCACAAUAAUAUUAUUUAUAAGGAUAGUAGAUAUAUUGUUGAUAAAUACCGAUGAAGGUGAUGUCAGAGGCGAAUUGAUGGAACCACUUGAGAACUGCAAUUUUAUUAAACCUGAAGGAGAGGCCUGUUCCGGCAACGGCUACCGCCAAGAAGCCCAAAAGUACCUCCAGAAACAUAUUAGCUUAUGCAAACAAGCUCGACAAUACUUUAAACGUGGCAACACCGAGAUCCCUAUUUUUUUCUGGUUUGGCGGGCAUUCAAACUAUUUACUAUCAACGGGCCAAGAGUAGAGCAGCUACAGAAAUUUUGAAAGAGAAUUCAAAGAGAGUACAAGAUUUCAAUACGCUGGAUCUGCACUUCUUGUAUGUUAAAGAAGCGCUGCCUUCGUUAGACGAUUUCUUGGACAAAAACAUUAUCCUUCUAAGACACUGUGCGUUAAAAAGUACAGAUUUGAAGAUAAUCACUGGCUGGGGGAAUAACAAUUCUGGCAAACCAAGGCUAAAACCUGCGGUUCAAGGUCACUUCAGGAAACGCCAUCUACCCUCGAAGGGGAGGCCUUUUCGGGUAACGGCUACCGCCAAGAAGCGAAAAAGUACUGCCAAAAAUGUACGAGUUUGCACACAAAAUCUCGACAGUACUUUCAACGCGGCGAAACUAACAUCGGCAGGUUUUAUUCAACUUUAGCAGCCAAACAGAUUGUUUACACCGAAAUGGCCAAUAGUAGAGCAGCCGAAGCAUUCCUGAAAGAGAAUGCACAGGGAUUGAAAGACCCUGUGCAUACAAUCGACCUUCACUUCCUCUACGUCAAAGAGGCUUUAAAAUCGGUAGAUAAUUUUUUGGACACUAACAUUAGCAUUCUUAGACGGAGGUCACCUAAAGCAAAACACCUAAAAAUAAUUACCGGCAGAGGGAACAAUAGCGAGGGGCCACCCAAGUUAAAACCUGCAGUUCAAGGCCACUUGGUGGCAUCACGUCAUCUAAAGACUACAACCAGAAUAAUAACAACAAGAACCUUGAAAACUAGAAAGUGUGAGUACAGGUACAAUUAUUUUUAGUAAGCCUCUUCUCAUUUUAACUAUCAUUGUUUCUUAAGUCUUAAACAUUGUUUGUUCUAUUUUUUUAAAAGCUUUUAUGUUAUGAUUUUUAUUUUUAUG